AAGGAAGGAAGGGAAAGAGAAAGGAAGGACACAAACCAUACUUACUGCAUUUGUUAAUUUAAAAUGAAUAUUUUUACUUGGUUAGGUGGAGACAGAGAGAGACAGAAAGAGACUUAUAAACCUGUAGGAAGGUGCUACAUAUAUUCAUUUCCAAAUUUAUUUCACAGGCUAGCUCUUGGAGAGGUUACAAAGUCCUUCCUUUUACAGAACACCCGAGCCCCUCAGGAGCAGUGUCCUGCCAGUCCAACAGCCUCAGUCAGAUUUAGCACAACUGAAAGCCAAGCUUUUCCUCAGGGUUUAGGUGCCCUACCGUGGGCUGGACUUAUGUUCAGCCUUCGAUGGAGGUGAUUCCCAGAAUCAACGUGAGCUAUGUGCAUCCCUCUGCCUGCCCUCACUCUGCAGUCCUGGUGAGACAAGACUGAAGUCACAGCCCUUGGGUGGUGGUGGCUCCUCUACAUGACAGAACAUUUCUGCUCGGCCGCCUGCUUCAUUUCAGUAAAGGUGGCUUGUGCCUUUUCUUUGAUCUGAUCCAUGUCCAUGUUCUGGAUGUUCUGCAGCUGUCCCAGGAUGGAGUCCUUGUCCUCUUCCUCCUCCUGAUCUUGUGCCACCAUCUUCUGCAGGUCUUCUGGCAAACCCACAUCAUCUCCAGCCAUCUGUAUUUGAUUCUCAUCCAGUUCACUCUGAUACAAAAAGCAGAAAAUAAAAACAGCACAUGAGAGUAUUUCUGCUCUCCCAGGAUCUA